rnacentral:rRNA from 1 species
AUGGAAGACGCGACGAAGCGGAGGCACCAGCCGGGCGCUCUCCCCGCGCGCCGCAAGGUCGUGGAGGAGCCCUUCGACCCCCCGCCGCCUCCCCCCGCCGCCGCUGCCGCGGCAGCGACGGUGGCCUCACCGGCCCACCUCGUCGGCGCCAUCGUCGAGAAGGGCUUCUCCGCCGCCGCGCCCUCCUCCGCCCCGCGCCCCACCGUCCUCCCCUUCCCCGUCGCCCGCCACCGCUCCCAUGGCCCCCACUGGAAACCGGUGGCGAAGGCUGCCGACAAGAAGAAAGGGGAGGGGGAGGGGGAGGAGGAGGACUACGGGAUGGAUGUGGACGAGAUGGACUACCAGCCAGCGGCGGCGGUGGCCGGGCCUGUGAGGAGGAAAGAGAAGAAGGGCAUGGAUUUCAGCAGGUGGCGAGAGUUUGUCGCUGACGACGUGCCCCCCAAGCGGAGGCAGGCGAAGAAAGACAACAUAAAGAAAAUUGAUCAUGUGGCUGAGGUUAAAAAUGUACAGGUGGGGGAGAGGGGAUUGGGGGGAGAUGGCAUGGAGCUGGACGGUGGAAAUGGCAGGGAAGCAUUGGGGUCAACUGGUUUGGUUUCUGAUGUGUCGUCAAAGAAGCUGAUGAAUGCAGGGGAUGCAUCGGUGACAGAAGGUGGGGCUGGGGUUGCUGAAUUACGAGGAGAGGGUAUGCAGCUGGAUGAUGGGGAGCCAUCGAUCGCAGCAGAGAUUAACGCAGAGAACACAGCGAGGCUGGCAGGGAUGUCGGCAGAGGAGAUAGCAGAGGCACAGGCAGAUAUUUUGAAUAGGAUGGAUCCAGCUCUGGUGGAGGUAUUGAGGCGUCGGGGGAGGGAGAAGUCUGGUGGCAAGAAAGAUGAGGGUAAGGAUAAGAGUAGGCAAACUUCAGGGCCAAGGAAGACUGCAAAGGCUAUUCCAGGCGAGCAUUUGACUGCUGGUGAGCAGAGUGCACACUCUUGGAAGGCAUGGAGUGAGAGAGUGGAGCGGAUCAGGUCGUGUAGGUUUGCAUUAGAUGGAGAUAUUCUGGGAUUUCAAUCUUCUCAGGAGCAACCAGAUGGCAAGAAGACCCAUGGAGAAAGUGUAGCUGAGCGUGACUUCCUACGAACAGAGGGAGAUCCUGCAGCUGUUGGUUACACAAUCAAUGAGGCGUUGGCACUUACCAGGAGCAUGGUUCCUGGGCAGCGUGUACUAGGACUGCAGCUUCUUGCUUCUGUUCUGAAUAGGGCAUUGCACAACCUGCAUAAGAUGGAUCUAGCUGAUAAUGUGGAAGGAGCUAAUUCUGAGAAAGCUUAUGAUUGGCAAGCAGUUUGGGCCUAUGCCCUUGGCCCCGAACCAGAGUUGGUUCUUUCUCUAAGGAUGGCAUUGGAUGAUAACCAUGAGUCUGUAGUUUUGACUUGCGCUAAAGUUAUUAAUGUUAUGUUGAGCUAUGACAUGAAUGGGUCAUAUUUUGAUUUUUCAGAGAAAUUAAUAAAUAAGACGGAAGAUAUCUGCACAGCUCCUGUUUUUCGUAGCAAACCUGACGUGGAUGGAGGUUUUCUUGAAGGGGGGUUUUGGAAAUACAACACAAAACCAUCCAAUAUACUUCCACACUAUGGUGAAGAUGAUGAAGAAGAAAGUGACGAGAAACACACCAUUCAAGAUGAUGUUAUUGUGUCUGGACAGGAUGUUGCUGCUGGUCUUAUUAGAAUGGGAAUCCUACCACGUAUCUGCUCCCUUUUGGAGAUGGACCCGCCUCAAAUUCAAAAAGAUUAUCUCGUUUCAAUUCUUGUGGCAUUAGCCAGACACUCUCCGCAAUCUGCUGAUGCCAUCUUGAAUUGUACAAAGCUUGUACAAUGUGUUCUUAAGCUGUUGGACAGGCAAGGAUCAACGGAAAUUCACUCGUCAAUGAUCAGAGGGGUUACUUUGUUGAAGGUUUUAUCCAAAUACAACAGACAAACAUGCUUGAAUUUUGUGAACAAUGGAGUUUUUCAUCAGGCAAUGUGGCAGUGGUACUUACCGGCUUAUACCCUUAAGGAUUGGAUAAAACCUGGAAAGGAACAAUGCAAGUUGAGUUCAGCAAUGAUGGUCGAGCAGCUGCGGUUUUGGAGAACCUGUAUUUCUUAUGGAUUUUGCAUAUCACACUUCACAGAUUUCUUUCCUGUUCUAUGCCUGUGGCUCAGCCCUCCAGUGUUCCAGAAUCUAAGUGAACACAAUGUUCUUACUGAGUUUAGUUCAAUUGCAAGAGAGUCGUUUCUUGUAUUAGGAGCUCUGGCACAAAGGCUGCCACUUCUUCAUUCAGUGGAGCAGUUUGGCAAGCAAGAUAUGGGAGUUCCUGGCAGUUAUGGUGAGAUGUGGUCUUGGAGUCAUGUAGUUCCAAUGGUAAAUUCGGCGCUGUCUUGGUUACAUCUAAAUGAUAUUCCCUACUUGUGUUCACUGAUCAAUGGGCAGAGUGAGAAUACAACACAUACACCGGAGCAAAGCUGCUUGGUUUUGUUGAUUUCUUCUGUACUAGGCAUGCUUAAUUCGACAUUGGAAAGAAUAUCACCAGAGGGCACUCCUGAUAGUAGAAGUUACUGCUUGCCUUGGAUACCGGACUUUGUCCCCAAAAUUGGCCUGGGGAUAAUUACUAAUGGGUUUUUCAGCUUCUCGUGCACUGAAGUUGUUGGGCAUGAGGAGCAGCUGCCGUCCCGUGGUGUAUCGUUGGUGCAGGGGCUUUGUCAUCUGAGAUGCUGGGGUGAUGUCGAUGCAUCACUAUCUUCCAUAAGUUGCCUUCAAAGAUUAGUGCAGCUAUCCUGUUCUGUUGACAGAGUGAUCCAGAGAGCGACAACAAAUAGUUCUGAGCAUCUCAAAGAAUCUAAAGCAGGGCUAGCUGGCAAGAUAUUACAAGAAGGCAUUUCCAGUUUAUGGCAUAAUGACUUGUUGAACUUUCUUACUUCGCUGUUGCCAUUGAUUUCCUCGCAGUGGCCUGUAUUAAAGAACAUAGAGAUGUUUGGUAGAGGAGGACUAGCUCCUGGUGUUGGGUUUGGCUGGGGGACGUGCGGAGGUGGGUUUUGGUCUCUGAAAUGCCUACUUGCACAACUGGAUUCACAGUUGGUCCUAGAGUUGAUAAAAAUCGUCUCUGCUGUGCCAGAAGGCCUUGUUACUCUCAGUAAAGGUGCAAACUCGGAUAAUGUGACUAAUCCAUUCGCCAACGCUUCAGAGAGAAUCAGUCCUGUCCUUGGUGUAUCUUUGAUUGCAGGACCUGGCCAGAUCUCUACGUUGGAGAGAGCCUUUGAUAUCCUCUUCCAACCUUCAGUUUUGAAAUGUCUCAAAUCUUCCAUGCAUUGUCUGGCUUCUCAAAUGAAAUUACCAAAAACUUUUGAGUGGGACAUAACUGAGGAUGAGUAUCAGCAUUUUAGCAGUGUGCUAAAUUCACAUUUCAGAUCCAGAUGGUUGGCCAUCAAGAAGAAAAAUCCAGACAAACAUGCAAGAAAUAACAGUGCCAUAAAUAAGCCAAAAGUACCAGAAACGUUGGAGACGAUUCAAGAGGAAAUGGAGUUAACAGAAGUUGUGAAUCCACCUUGCAGCACGUUAGUUCUAGAGUGGGCACACCAGAGACUGCCUCUUCCUGCGCAUUGGAUUCUAAGUUCAAUCUGCUGCAGUGAUGACGCUGACGUUUCAAGAGCUGGUCUUAUCUUUUUAUUGGGUCUGGAAGCUGUUUCAGCUGCUCCAUCUCUUGAUGUUCCUUUGGUUUGGAAAAUGCAUGCACUUUCUGCCUCUGUCCGCACUAACAUGGACUUGCUUCAAGAAGAUAGAAGCAAGGAUGUUUUUGAGGCUUUGCAAGAAUUGUAUGGCAAGCAUCUGGACAUAUUAUGCCAGAAAUAUUAUAGAUCUCGCUCUGUUAAUAAUGAUGAGGUUGUAAGAUCUGUGGCCACUGUUGAAGAAGUAAAAGUAAUUAGCACUCACGAAAUUCUCAGAUUCAAGGAGAAAAUUCAUGAGAGCUACACUACUUUUGUCGAGAGUGUUGUAGAUCAAUUCGCAGCUGUCUCAUAUGGAGAUGUUAUUUUUGGUCGGCAAGUGGCCAUUUAUUUGCAUAGAAGUGUUGAGACUACGGUUCGGCUGGCAGCCUGGAAUGCAUUGUCUACUGCUUAUGUGCUUGAACUGUUGCCUCCCCUAGACAAAUGCAUUGGUGAUGUUAAAGGAUACUUGGAGCCUCUUGAGGACGACGAAGGAAUCUUGGAGGCUUAUGCCAAAUCAUGGACAUCUGGUAUCCUGGACAAGGCUGCUCGGAGGGAUUCCAUGUCGUUCACACUAGCGAAGCAUCACCUGUCCGGUUUCGUUUUCCGGCGCAGUGCUUCCGUCAAAGUGCGCAACAAGAUGGUCAAGUCGCUCCUCCGGUGCUACUCCCAGAAGCAGCACCACGAGGCUAUGCUCCAGAGUCUGGUUCUGCAAGGCGUCCCACGGGAUUCGCAGUACGGCAGUGAAGUUGGCCGGAGAAUCGAAAUCUUGAAGGAUGCAUGUGAGAUGAACUCUUCCCUCUUAGCUGAGGUUCAAAGGCUGAAGACAUCGAUCGAGGGAGCUAUUAUUAGUUAG